CGAGUCAGGGUUGUGAAGAUGUCCUGUUGAUUCCGGAUGUCUCUUAAAUGGUGGAUCCCAGCGUCUUCAGUUCGGUCCCUGGAAAAAGAAAAAAGAUCAUUCCCUCCAGUCCCCGUUGACCUCAUUCUUGUCAGAAUGUAUAGCAUCGUCAAAUUUUUGGGGGAAAGGACUGUUGGCAUAGUGGCCAGUAAUUGGAUUAUAAAAGAGGGAGAUAAGACAUGCAGCUACUGGCCACUCCACAAGCCCACACAGAGGGCAAAGGACAAAGAUUUGCCCGAUCCUAAAACCUGGCUAAAAAGGCCAAUAAAAAUAUUUGUGUGUUAAUGUGUGUUAAUGGGCGACAAAUAAAUAAGUGGUGACAUGCAACACAUUUAAAAGAGUGUAAUUUCUAAUUGUUUUGGCCCACCUGACUGUUUAGAUGAUUGGGAUCAGGCCGUCAGGAGGAACAAGAGGGCGGAGACAAAGUCCUGUGUGGAGACAGGAAAUGAGGACAUAGGGAGGCGCAUCAUAGUCAAACCCCAAAAAUGUAUUCACACCGGUGAAAAGAGAACAAAGAAACGAAAUGGGAAAAAGGCAGGACAAGGUCCACAUUUCAGGACUUCCCUUCCUCCUCCACCCCAGAUAGAAUCCCCCAUUCCACGGCGUAGCGCACUACAAAUAUCUUCACCCCCUGUGACUGAUGACGAUUACUCCCCUCCUUCACCGGCAAGAGACGUUUUUACAGAAAAUGAUGGUAAAGUUAUGCAUGAUGAUUCGAUUGCGUCUUCAUUUGAAACGCCAUUGCCUAUCUCUACUGGGGACGGUGACCGAAGAGAGAGAGAAACCAUACCAAUCUGGGCAAAGAAUAUCAACGGUAAUACAUGUAUUGAACUGUAUUGCACUGUAUGCAAAUGACACCAAAUACUACUAAAUACACUCCUCUCAUCUCAACAUAAUUUUUUUUACAGCCACAUUGGAGGUUCUGCUCCGAAGGCUUGAGACUGUUGAGCAGAAUCAGAGAGAGGCUCUAUUAUUGCUACGGGCAAAUCGACAUGGGGACCCUGGGGAAGCUAGUGUCGAGUUACUGCAGGCGCAAACUCAGGCCGAACUACAGGAACUCGAGGAGCACCUUAAAAAUAGAGAUUUCACAAAAAAAAUGGUAAAUGUACGAAUAAUGGUGAAGUGACUUUAGGCUAUAUUGUACACAUGCCACCAAGUGUGCCACAUGGCCCUGCCAUUGAGCUUUUUUCAUCUUUAGUUCCCUGUUGUUAGCUAAGUAGUUAGAGAUGAGCAGUCCAUCUUCAAAUACCUUAAUUUGGUUCACCCCCCUCAAAAGAAAACACCACCAACACCACAUGAAAAAUACAAUGCAAAUACUUGCCUUAACCAUGGUUGUUUGAUUUCCUUAGAUUUCCCAUCUGAGCCUAGUUGGGGGGUCCAAUCCUGGGGAGUGUGUGAGGAGGGUGCUGCGCUCUGUGGCCUCAAACUUUGUUUGGAGCAGCUACAGCCUUAGGGGAAAGAAGGGGAAGAUGCCACUGCUUGGCACAGCAGUGGGCAGUACCAUCAAACAGGCGAUCAUGAAAUGGAAGCCGGGGCUGGAAGAGAAGGAGGUGGAGCUUCUGAUGGCAGAGGUCUUGAAACAUGCCCCCUCAGCCCACUCCAAAAGUUUGAAGGGUCGGAUGGAACGGCAGGCGGAAGAACAUCCCCA